UCAGUUCAGAUGAGCCACACUCCACUCUUUC
rnacentral:piRNA from 1 species